rfam:Pseudomonas fulva 12-X, complete genome.
AGAAGACCUCCCGUAGAUCGUGGAGCAAACGCAGAUUGUAAAAAAGCGGGAUGACGUGUGAAGGUCAUCCCGC